AUGGAUUCCUAGGUGGCAUCUAGAAAUGACCCUGACCUAAGGGGCCUGUACCCACAGCCGCUGUUCGCACGAACGGGAAGCGGCUUCCACGCCUGCUGUCACAGUAUAAUGGGCGUACCAUUUUUUUGGAUUACACUGCUAAUCGCAAUGCACAAUCGUUCCUUCGACUACGCCAUCCAUGUCUCGCCUCUAUCACAAAUCACUACCAUCCCUUCCCUCACCGGCUGCCUCCUCCGCCGCUACAGCACACUCCGACGAUGCUUUUGAGUAUCCACGGGUAGCAGGUGGUCGUGUAGUGUAUCUUGAAGGCGGCAGUCGGUCGUAUGCGUCCAGGGCUACUUGCUUGCAGCAUAUGAUUUAGGAGCUGACCCGGAUUCCUAUGAGGACGCGAGUAUCCUUGGAGUGAUCCUGAUGCCGAGGAAAGACAUGGUGCGUGAAUAAUCGGAGAGGAAUCGUGUGGCGGGUGGGUACGGUUUUGCCGCGUGUUGAUGUCGCUUGUGAGUUGCAGCGACCAUGCAGAAAGGCCAGAGGACCUUCGGUCACAUUCCGGUUCCGGAGAGUUCGUGGUGUGUGGUUUAGGGGGCUGUCGCAUGCCCUUUCAGAGUCUGCGCGUAGAGUGAAACGUGGCACUUCGUUACAGGGUGUACGCCGACGUUAGAAAUCAUGUGAAUAUGUUGGCACGAGGUGGUCCAUGGGUGAGGGGGUGAAGCCGAUGCGUUUUCUUUGACAACACGAGCGGCAGUUGACACCAGAGGACGGGGAGGCCAGCAGUUCAGAUAUGCUCGCUGGGUCUGAAGGGACGAAAUAUCCAGGGAUUGUUUGUGCUGGGGCAGUGCACCAAUCUACUUGAAGCGUAGGGGUGACAGAGAGUUGUCAAAGGCUGAGUAUGGUCUUGGGGUCGCCUGCGGCAUGGCAUAGCCACUUGAUCGGAUAUGCGAGGGACGGGACGAUACCAUGAGGGGAGCGGCGGAUGUGGGGGAUUGAGUGAUCUAUGCGCUCCUUGUGCACUGGUCGGAGGGUUCAUAGUCGAUGUCGUAUCGAGUGUAGAGAGUUGGGAUACGUCUCAGGAGCCGGUCGCAUGGUGAAAAACGAGGCGAUACCCUCACGGCAGCAAUGGGUGAGACAUAUACCACCGAUCAAUAGGUCAUUUGGGUGCGUUCAUACCGUGCGCCGGACCGCUUUUUCCGUUCUUUAAUAUCCAGUCUGAUGCCGUACGUGAUCAGGAAUUCGGGAGUGAUGAUGAAUGCGAGUUUGUUCCGUGGUAGACUUAGCGAAGUGUGGGUGAGUGAGGGCAACGAUUUGGGCGGCAUGUGCGUGUGAUGGGGACUGUCGGGCGUAGGGUUCGAAGCGGGCUGUGGAUGUCGAGGCGCUGGCAGCGUACGUAGGUUUGAGAUUGCGGGGUAGGGGCAGCGCGAGCUAGUGCGUGGCUCAUUGGAUUCGGCCCCACAUGGGAUCCCUUGGUUAGGAGUGUGCUGCGUGAGUGCAGUCUGAGAAAGUGAGCGGGAGAGUCGGCGGUGUUGGUGGACAAUCAUUCUGAUGCGAAUCUUAUUCCGGGGAUAGCGUAUGGAUUCCUAGGUGGCAUCUAGAAAUGACCCUGACCUAAGGGGCCUGUACCCACAGCCGCUGUUCGCACGAACGGGAAGCGGCGUCCACGCCUGCUGUCACAGUAUAAUGGGCGUACCAUUUUUUUGGAUUACGCUGCUAAUCGCAAUGCACAAUCGUUCCUUCGACUACGCCAUCCAUGUCUCGCCUCUAUCACAAAUCACUCCCAUCCCUUCCCUCACCGGCUGCCUCCUCCGCGGCUACAGCACACUCCGACGAUGCUUUUGAGUAUCCAAGGGUAGCAGGUGGUCGUGUAGUGUAUCUUGAAGGCGGCAGUCGGUCGUAUGCGUCCAGGGCUACUUGCUUGCAGCAUAUGAUUUAGGAGCUGACCCGGAUUCCUAUGAGGACGCGAGUAUCCUUGGAGUGAUCCUGAUGCCGAGGAAAGACAUGGUGCGUGAAUAAUCGGAGAGGAAUCGUGUGGCGGGUGGGUACGGUUUUGCCGCGUGUUGAUGGCGCUUGUGAGUUGCAGCGACCAUGCAGAAAGGCCAGAGGACCUUCGGUCACAUUCCGGUUCCGGAGAGUGCAUGGUGUGUCGUUUGGUGGCUGUCGCAUGUCGUUCGAGUUCCUGUGGAUAUGGCGAACUGUCGCUUGGCUGCUCAGGCUGUAGGCAUACAUUCGAGAUUAGGCGAAUGUGUCGUCGCGAGGUGGGUCAUGGGUGAGGGGGUGAAGCCGAUGCGUUUUCUUUGACAACACGAGUGGCAGUUGACACCAGAGGACGGGGAGGCCAGCAGUUCAGAUAUGCUCGCUGGGUCUGAAGGGACGAAAUAUCCAGGGAUUGUUUGUGCUGGGGCAGUGCACCAAUCUACUUGAAGCGUAGGGGUGACAGAGAGUUGUCAAAGGCUGAGUAUGGUCUUGGGGUCGCCUGCGGCAUGGCAUAGCCACUUGAUCGGAUAUGCGAGGGACGGGACGAUACCAUGAAGGGAGCGGCGGAUGUGUGGAUUGAGUGAUCUAUGCGCUCCUUGCGCACUGGUCGGAGGGUUCAUAGUCGAUGUCGUAUCGAGUGUAGAGAGUUGGGAUACGUCUCAGGAGCCGGUCGCAUGGUGAAAAACGAGGCGAUACCCUCACGGCAGCAAGGGGUGAGACAUAUACCACCAAUAUUUAAGCUAUUGGGCGUAUUGACAUCGUGCUCCGAGUCUCGUCUAUCAAACAUCUCGCAUACAGGCUGAGCUCGUACGAAUCGUAGUCAGCAAGUCGGAAGUGAUGAUGAAUGCGAGUUUGUUCCGUGGUAGACUUAGCGAAGUGUGGGUGAGUGAGGGCAACGAUUUGGGCGGCAUGUGCGUGUGAUGGGGACUGUCGGGCGUAGGGUUCGAAGCGGGCUGUGGAUGUCGAGGCGCUGGCAGCGUACGUAGGUUUGAGAUUGCGGGGUAGGGGCAGCGCGAGCUAGUGCGUGGCUCAUUGGAUUCGGCCCCACAUGGGAUCCCUUGGUUAGGAGUGUGCUGCGUGAGUGCAGUCUGAGGAAGUGAGCGGGAGAGUCGGCGGUGUUGGUGGACAAUCAUUCUGAUGCGAAUCUGUUCCGGGGAUAGCGUAUGGAUUCAUAGGUGGCAUCUAGAAAUGACCCUGACCUAAGGGGCCUGUACCCACAGCCGCUGUUCGCACGAACGGGAAGCGGCUUCCACGCCUGCUGUCACAGUAUAAUGGGCGUACCAUUUUUUUGGAUUACGCUGCUAAUCGCAAUGCACAAUCGUUCCUUCGACUACGCCAUCCAUGUCUCGCCUCUAUCACAAAUCACUCCCAUCCCUUCCCUCACCGGCUGCCUCCUCCGCGGCUACAGCACACUCCGACGAUGCUUUUGAGUAUCCAAGGGUAGCAGGUGGUCGUGUAGUGUAUCUUGAAGGCGGCAGUCGGUCGUAUGCGUCCAGGGCUACUUGCUUGCAGCAUAUGAUUUAGGAGCUGAUCCGGAUUCCUAUGAGGACGCGAGUAUCCUUGGAGUGAUCCUGAUGCCGAGGAAAGACAUGGUGCGUGAAUAAUCGGAGAGGAAUCGUGUGGCGGGUGGGUACGGUUUUGCCGCGUGUUGAUGGCGCUUGUGAGUUGCAGCGACCAUGCAGAAAGGCCAGAGGACCUUCGGUCACAUUCCGGUUCCGGAGAGUGCAUGGUGUGUCGUUUGGUGGCUGUCGCAUGUCGUUCGAGUUCCUGUGGAUAUGGCGAACUGUCGCUUGGCUGCUCAGGCUGUAGGCACACAUUCGAGAUUAGGCGAAUGUGUCGUCACGAGGUGGGUCAUGGGUGAGGGGGUGAAGCCGAUGCGUUUUCUUUGACAACACGAGUGGCAGUUGACACCAGAGGACGGGGAGGCCAGCAGUUCAGAUAUGCUCGCUGGGUCUGAAGGGACGAAAUAUCCAGGGAUUGUUUGUGCUGGGGCAGUGCACUAAUCUACUUGAAGCGUAGGGGUGACAGAGAGUUGUCAAAGGCUGAGUAUGGUCUUGGGGUCGCCUGCGGCAUGGCAUAGCCACUUGAUCGGAUAUGCGAGGGACGGGACGAUACCAUGAAGGGAGCGGCGGAUGUGGGGGAUUGAGUGAUCUAUGCGCUCCUUGCGCACUGGUCGGAGGGUUCAUAGUCGAUGUCGUAUCGAGUGUAGAGAGUUGGGAUACGUCUCAGGAGCCGGUCGCAUGGUGAAAAACGAGGCGAUACCCUCACGGCAGCAAGGGGUGAGACAUAUACCACCGAUCAAUAGGUCAUUUGGGUGCGUUCAUACCGUACGCCGGACCGCUUUUUCCGUUCUUUAAUGUCCAGUAUGAUGCCGUACGUGAUCAGGAAUUCGGGAGUGAUGAUGAAUGCGGGUUUGUUCCGUGGUAGACUUAGCGAAGUGUGGGUGAGUGAGGGCAACGAUUUGGGCGGCAUGUGCGUGUGAUGGGGACUGUCGGGCGUAGGGUUCGAAGCGGGCUGUGGAUGUCGAGGCGCUGGCAGCGUACGUAGGUUUGAGAUUGCGGGGUAGGGGCAGCGCGAGCUAGUGCGUGGCUCAUUGGAUUCGGCCCCACAUGGGAUCCCUUGGUUAGGAGUGUGCUGCGUGAGUGCAGUCUGAGGAAGUGAGCGGGAGAGUCGGCGGUGUUGGUGGACAAUCAUUCUGAUGCGAAUCUGUUCCGGGGAUAGCGUAUGGAUUCAUAGGUGGCAUCUAGAAAUGACCCUGACCUAAGGGGCCUGUACCCACAGCCGCUGUUCGCACGAACGGGAAGCGGCGUCCACGCCUGCUGUCACAUUAUAAUGGGCGUACCAUUUUUUUGGAUUACGCUGCUAAUCGCAAUGCACAAUCGUUCCUUCGACUACGCCAUCCAUGUCUCGCCUCUAUCACAAAUCACUCCCAUCCCUUCCCUCACCGGCUGCCUCCUCCGCGGCUACAGCACACUCCGACGAUGCUUUCGAGUAUCCAAGGGUAGCAGGUGGUCGUGUAGUGUAUCUUGAAGGCGGCAGUCGGUCGUAUGCGUCCAGGGCUACUUGCUUGCAGCAUAUGAUUUAGGAGCUGACCCGGAUUCCUAUGAGGACGCGAGUAUCCUUGGAGUGAUCCUGAUGCCGAGGAAAGACAUAGUGCGUGAAUAAUCGGAGAGGAAUCGUGUGUCGGGUGGGUACGGUUUUGCCGCGUGUUGAUGUCGCUUGUGAGUUGCAGCGACCAUGCAGAAAGGCCAGAGGACCUUCGGUCACAUUCCGGUUCCGGAGAGUGCAUGGUGUGUGGUUUAGGGGGCUGUCGCAUGCCCUUUCAGAGUCUGCGCGUAGAGUGAAACGUGGCACUUCGUUACAGGGUGUACGCCGACGUUAGAAAUCAUUUGAAUAUGUUGGCACGAGGUGGUCCAUGGUUGAGGGGGUGAAGCCGAUGCGUUUUCUUUGACAACACGAGUGGCAGUUGACACCAGAGGACGGGGAGGCCAGCAGUUCAGAUAUGCUCGCUGGGUCUGAAGGGACGAAAUAUCCAGGGAUUGUUUGUGCUGGGGAAGUGCACCAAUCUACUUGAAGCGUAGGGGUGACAGAGAGUUGUCAAAGGCUGAGUAUGGUCUUGGGGUCGCCUGCGGCAUGGCAUAGCCACUUGAUCGGAUAUGCGAGGGAUGGGACGUUACCAGGAAGGUAGCGGCGGAUGUGGGGGAUUGAGUGAUCUAUGCGCUCCUUGCGCACUGGUCGGAGGGUUCAUAGUCGAUGUCGUAUCGAGUGUAGAGAGUUGGGAUACGUCUCAGGAGCCGGUCGCAUGGUGAAAAACGAGGCGAUACCCUCACGGCAGCGAGGGGUGAGACAUAUACCACCGAUCAAUAGGUCAUUUGGGUGCGUUCAUACCGUGCGCCGGACCGCUUUUUCCGUUCUUUAAUAUCCAGUCUGAUGCCGUACGUGAUCAGGAAUUCGGAAGUGAUGAUGAAUGCGAGUUUGUUCCGUGGUAGACUUAGCGAAGUGUGGGUGAGUGAGGGCAACGAUUUGGGCGGCAUGUGCGUGUGAUGGGGACUGUCGGGCGUAGGGUUCGAAGCGGGCUGUGGAUGUCGAGGCGCUGGCAGCGUACGUAGGUUUGAGAUUGCGGGGUAGGGGCAGCGCGAGCUAGUGCGUGGCUCAUUGGAUUCGGCCCCACAUGGGAUCCUUUGGUUAGGAGUGUGCUGCGUGAGUGCAGUCUGAGGAAGUGAGCUGGAGAGUCGGCGGUGUUGGUGGACAAUCAUUCUGAUGCGAAUCUGUUCCGGGGAUAGCGUAUGGAUUCAUAGGUGGCAUCUAGAAAUGACCCUGACCUAAGGGGCCUGUACCCACAGCCGCUGUUCGCACGAACGGGAAGCGGCGUCCACGCCUGCUGUCACAGUAUAAUGGGCGUACCAUUUUUUUGGAUUACGCUGCUAAUCGCAAUGCACAAUCGUUCCUUCGACUACGCCAUCCAUGUCUCGCCUCUAUCACAAAUCACUCCCAUCCCUUCCCUCACCGGCUGCCUCCUCCGCCGCUACAGCACACUCCGACGAUGCUUUUGAGUAUCCAAGGGUAGCAGGUGGUCGUGUAGUGUAUCUUGAAGGCAGCAGUCGGUCGUAUGCGUCCAGGGCUACUUGCAUGCAGCACAUGAUUUAGGAGCUGACCCGGAUUCCUAUGAGGACGCGAGUAUCCUUGGAGUGAUCCUGAUGCCGAGGAAAGACAUGGUGCGUGAAUAAUCGGAGAGGAAUCGUGUGUCGGGUGGGUACGGUUUUGCCGCGUGUUGAUGGCGCUUGUGAGUUGCAGCGACCAUGCAGAAAGGCCAGAGGACCUUCGGUCACAUUCCGGUUCCGGAGAGUGCAUGGUGUGUCGUUUGGCGGCUGUCGGAUGUCGUUCCAGUCUCUGUGGAUAUGGCGAACUGUCGCUUCGCUGCUCAGGCUGUAGGCUUUGGGUGCCGGGUAUGAGAUGCUGUUGACAUAACGUUCGUGUGCGUUUGGCGCUAUCACUGUGGUCUUAUAGGCG
rnacentral:lncRNA from 1 species